GACGAACGCUGGCGGCGUGCUUAACACAUGCAAGUCGAACGGUGAUGCUCCAGCUUGCUGGAGUGGAUCAGUGGCGAACGGGUGAGUAACACGUGAGCAACCUGCCCCAGACUCUGGAAUAAGCGCUGGAAACGGCGUCUAAUACUGGAUACGAAACUGGCCCGCAUGGGCAUGGUUGGAAAAGUUUUUCGGUUUGGGAUGGGCUCGCGGCCUAUCAGCUUGUUGGUGAGGUAAUGGCUCACCAAGGCGACGACGGGUAGCCGGCCUGAGAGGGCGACCGGCCACACUGGGACUGAGACACGGCCCAGACUCCUACGGGAGGCAGCAGUGGGGAAUAUUGCACAAUGGGCGAAAGCCUGAUGCAGCGACGCCGCGUGAGGGAUGACGGCCUUCGGGUUGUAAACCUCUUUCAGCAGGGAAGAAGCGAAAGUGACGGUACCUGCAGAAGAAGCACCGGCUAACUACGUG
rnacentral:rRNA from 1 species